UGAGGAAUAUUGGUCAAUGGACGGAAGUCUGAACCAGCCAAGUAGCGUGCAGGAUGACGGCCCUAUGGGUUGUAAACUGCUUUUGUAUGGGGAUAAAGUUAGGGACGUGUCCCUAUUUGCAGGUACCAUACGAAUAAGGACCGGCUAAUUCCGUGCCAGCAGCCGCGGUAAUACGGAAGGUCCAGGCGUUAUCCGGAUUUAUUGGGUUUAAAGGGAGCGUAGGCUGGAGAUUAAGUGUGUUGUGAAAUGUAGACGCUCAACGUCUGAAUUGCAGCGCAUACUGGUUUCCUUGAGUACGCACAACGUUGGCGGAAUUCAUGGUGUAGCGGUGAAAUGCUUAGAUAUCAUGACGAACUCCGAUUGCGAAGGCAGCUUACGGGAGCGCAACUGACGCUAAAGCUCGAAGGUGCGGGUAUCGAACAGG
rnacentral:rRNA from 1 species